AUAUUGAGUUUUGAAUUGAUAUGUACAGCAUAGGUGGGAGACUUUGAAGCAGGGACGCCAGUUUCUGUGGAGUCAUCAUUGGGAUACCACUCUUAUUACUUUGGAAUUCUAACGCGCAUAACAAUCCUUAUGGCGGACAGUGUCAGGUGGGCAGUUUGACUGGGGCGGUCGCCUCCUAAAAGUAACGGAGGCGCCCAAAGGUACCCUCAGAUUGGUUGGAAAUCAAUCGCCGAGCGCAAUUGCAGAAGGGUGCUUGACUGCAAGACUUACAAGUCGAGCAGGGACGAAAGUCGGAAAUAGUGAUCCUGCGGUUCAGUAUGGAAUGGCCGUGGCUUAACGGAUAAAAGCUACCCUGGGGAUAACAGGCUGAUCUCGCCCAAGAGUUCACAUCGACGGCGAGGUUUGGCACCUCGAUGUCGGCUCAUCGCAUCCUGGAGCUGAAUUCGGUUCCAAGGGUUGGGCUGUCCGCCCAUUAAAGCGGUACGCGAGCUGGGUUCAGAACGUCGUGAGACAGUUCGGUCCCUAUCUGUUGUGGGCGUUGGAAAUUUGAGAGGAUCUGUCCUUAGUACGAGAGGACCGGGAUGGACGUACCUAUGGUGCACCAG
rnacentral:rRNA from 1 species